GUGGCGGCUCAUCGCUGCUCCGCGGCUCCGGGCUGUCCCCCCGCGCGGCUCCCGCGGCCUCGGCGGCGGCUGCAGUUGCUGAGGCAGCGCCCCCCUGGGGGCCCCGCAGGUGCACGGGCAGCAGCUGGGCGCGCGCCACUGCACAGGGAGAGCCGAGGACACGCCGGGCGCUCCGCUCGCUCUGCAACCCGAGGCUCCAGUGCCAGCCUCCUGCAGCCCGAGGCUCUCUAUUAAUACUCGGCGUGCAGCUGGCUGCAUGCCAUCGGCUUGACCCGCGGCCAGGGGCCCUCUGCCCUCGCUGGGGAGGGCUGGGGAACAGGCUUUAGGGGCGUGGGUGAUUCGACUGGGUGGAAUCAGGCAGACGACUGCCCCAGCGGCCCUCCCGAGCCAGCCAGGUGGCUCAUUUCUUCAGCUGAGCCAUGCAGGCUUUCAUAUCAGGGUCUGCUGUUCAAUUGAGAAAAUUGUAGAACAGCUCCUCCUGCCCAGUAUUCUCAUCAUGGGGUGAUCCUCGUUGCAAGCUGCAAGCGCUUGGAGACUACCUUUCAGAAGAACAGAAGCUUAACCCAGGUGGCCACUUGUCAAGGAGCUGAUCCAUCUGGGUGAAUCUCUCUUCUAUCCCUAAUAGUUCAUGGUCUAUGGGGGAACAAUCAGCAUGGCGUUUGAAUGCUUUCACAGUGUACUGGGAAGAAGUUGCGUCCACUUGUGAGUUCCGGCAGGAGAGGCGUGAAUAACAUUUCACUUUCUCCUUGGAAAAAUAGAAGAGAGAGCGGUCAGGUUGACAUGGGAAUGGUCAAACAGGGCCAAGCCAUAAAAUGCAACAGGUCUAAUUUACACUUGACUGUGAACAGCCGGCUAGGAGUUGCUGCUGGGU